rnacentral:rRNA from 1 species
UGAGUAACCUGCCCUUAACUCUGGGAUAAGCCUGGGAAACUGGGUCUAAUACUGGAUAUUCACUUCUCAUCGCAUGGUGGGUGGUGGAAAGCUUUUGCGGUGUGGAAUGGGCCCGCGGCCUAUCAGCUUGUUGGUGAGGUUACGGCUCACCAAGGCGUCGACGGGUAGCCAGCCUGAGAGGGUGUCCGGCCACACUGGGACUGAGAUACGGCCCAGACUCCUACGGGAGCAG